AAGAAUUUCUUUUUAAUCCUUGAUAAUUAUCUCAAAUCUUUUCUUUUCUUUUUGUCAAGAUGUCUGACGCAUUUCGUCUGGAACCGGUGUCCGUGUAGCUAAAUAACUUUAUGUUAGUUUGUAUUCUUGGAAAUUAUGACGGAGACCCUUAAAUGCAAUGUUUCUUCUUAUUUAGUAUUUUUUUUAUAUAAAUAGCCAUAGAAUGCAGUCUAUCUGUAUAGCGGAGUAUCUCAAUGUCUGUUGAUCUUCUAUUUUCGCAGGUGGGUUAUGAAUCUUGAUUGGACAUUCAAUAAAGCCGUCAAUAAGCUUUCACCAAAUCGACAUCAAUCCACAAAUGUAAUGUAACUAAAAUGUAGAUCCAAACAAGGAAAUUAACUUAUUAUAAGGUCAUUCAAGAUCUUUUCAUGAGGCAUUUAUAAGCGGUACAUGCUAUUAGGGCUUGAACCACGAAUGUUAAUUAAAGAAGGUCGACGAAUGGAUAUAAAAUCAGCAUUCUCCUAGCUUCUGCUACACACAUACAGAAGCAGCCAAACAAAUGAACUACAAGAUGUCUCUUCUACGACAAGGACUUGCCAUAGCUUUACUCGCGUGUUUACUAGCUUCUCUGCUUCAGGCAAGAGUUGCAAGGGAUGAUGAAUCAAAAACUGACAGAACACGGGCCAUCGAAGACUUUCUUUUACAAAAAGCCGGCGACUCCAUUCCAGCGUGUGCGAUGGGGGCCCGUUACCGCACGAGGCACUGCAGGGCAGGAAAGAGAGCACUUCGGAAAAUGAUAGCAGCCACUAGAGAGCAAGACUUUAGCGACAAUUAAAGAUCUGCACCAUUAUAUGGAUGGACCAAUCACAUGGUGGCACAGGGCAGAAGAUAAACCUACUCACCACUCCUUUGGCAAAUGGGCUAUUCAAAACAACAAGAACUAUUUUACCAAAAAUAUGCAUAUUUAUAGAGUAUUUUCAUAGGCAACAAAAUGUUUAAUUAUAACCAUAAACUUUAAUCAUAACAUGUAUUGAAUUUGCUUCUUGAUACAUGGAUUACUUAAUGUAUCAAACUAAAUACUCAUUGUUAAUUUAAACAGAGAAAUGGAAAUUUAUACUGCAUAAAAAAUAAAAAAGACACAACAAUG